CGGCAGCCAGCGUGUGCAUAUAUCUGUAUCUCCUUCUGUCUCAGCCUUUGGCUCCAUAUCCGUCUGCGUCUCGAUCUUCAUUUCGGUUUCUUUUUGGGGCUUCCUUCCCUCAGUUUCAAUGCGUUCGUUCCCAACGCACGAUUUACACAUUAAAACACUUUAAUUUUUAUUGUACAGCCGGUCGGAGCUUCGAUCUGUCGAUCAGUGACGAUCUACUUCCCUUUUUUUAAUCAACUCCGAAGGUGGAGCACAUGGGGCGAGAUAGAGAGAGGAGGGACCUUUCCCAACCUCAAAUUAGUGACUUGAGGGUAUUUUUAGCUGUGGGAACUGCAGUUAUUACUUGGGGUGUGUGCUGCUCGUAGAUGCAACGCCCCCGCCUCCCCAUCAUCCGCCCUCAUCCAGUCCAUUCAGUGCCCAAAAUAAUGAGCAUGAAAAAUAUGAAACGGUAGCAAAUGUGUGAACUGAUCUGAUCCAAGCAGAGCCGAACCGAACCGAACCGCUCCACUCGGGACGUAGCUAAAGCCGAUCUGAAGUGGGGUUGGUUGGUGUCGGAUGUGAUGCUGCUGCUGUGGCUGCUUGGCCAAGAUAUAUGUUGAUUUAAAUGAAUUCCUUGUUGAUUUUUAUGGCGCUUAGUCGCGACUUGCCUGCAUUUGGGGGGAAAUUUGAGUGAAGUGUGCGGUCUGCGGAGCAUUAGGAGUCGUGACAGAGACCGGGGGCUACGAGUAAUAUUUGAUUAUUUUUUGUGGGAGAUUUUAUUUUUAUGAAUUUGAUAAAUGGCCAGCAGGGAGUUGGGCUAAUAACCGGGAAGUUUUUUUUCUGACAGAUGCCAAAAAAGGGGGAACGAAAUGGGGGAAUGUUUAAUUUCGAUUACGAAAAUAUACUCUCAGUGCCGAGGUGUGGGAAUUACCUAUUGACUUAAGGGUUUAAAUGUGCUUAAGUUUCAUGGUUCACGAUAUUUCGGACUCUAUGAAUACAGCGCUGAGCUUUCAUUACAACGAAUUUAACCACAAUUAUUAUCCAUUGAUAUUUCAAAUUAUUUCAUUUAUCGUUUCAGUCGCCUGAGAUGUCCUCCCUGCAGAUCAAUAAUCUCAAUAAUGGGCGUUCCAGCCCGUAAGUCAUGGUAACGGUCAGUUUUGCCGAUCAGCUGCUCAUGUGACAACAUUUGCACUAUGUAAGUAUGUGAUGAGGCUUCUCUCCAGCUCUCGUGCCACAGAUUCGCUGCACAGCUGCUCGUCUCCCUCCCCAUGCCCGUCUAUGAUAACAAUGGAAUUACAGCUCGGAGCCCGGACAAUGGACGGCGCUAAGAAAACUGAACUGACUUUCUAGGGGACGUGCGGGGUAUCUUUUGCCGCUACCAAACGUCUUACAUAAUCGCAGAAAAGAUGCGACGACUCCUAGAGGCAGACGCGGCAUGGAUUUUGAAUGAAGCGUGCCUGAUGCGAGGCAGCUGCUGCUAUUGCUGCUGCUUGAUGAAGGGUUGCCGGGGAUUAAGUGCGAUCUGUGUGCUGUAAAGAUUUGCGGUUGUCUUGCCACUGAAUCGAUUCCCCCUGUGCCAAAGCCACUGUAAAUCCUUCUGCCAUACGGCAAGUACAGUCAGACCUCGGGGGAAAUCAGGCGACAAACACACAUGCACAGCGACC
rnacentral:lncRNA from 1 species